UUUAUUCCAUGCUACCUCUUAGAACACAACUAACAAAUUCAAAUUAUACGACGUAAUUAGGAAAUAGAAACCCGUCUAAGAUGAAGGGAAAUGGCACAAGGAAAUGUUGUUUCACAGGCUCAAAACAGAGGAGAACGACAAGGCUAAAGAACACAUUUCAAACCAAAUGUGCAUAGCAUAGACGAAAACACGAAAGUACUACAUGGAAGAAAUCCAUUUGUUUUUAGGUUUUAGGGAUUGCUUUUGAUCCCGAAGACAGAUAUAAUAUUGGGAAAUAGAAAAUCAAUGAUAAAAUAAUAAAAGAAAACCAGCACACUAUAUUACAUUUCCAGUCAGUCCAAUUUGUCCAAUCUCCAUUAUAACAAGUGUUACUCCAAUUAUCAGACAAAGAAUACCUCCAACAACGGUAUUAUCACGCGAUUCAAUGGCCAGCCAAUCCGGAAUGAUGACGAAUAAGGGAAACCGAGAUGCUGCAAGUACAGGCAAUAGAUGAAUCUUGAUAAAUAUCGAACCAUUUGAAAUCUUAAAUUUUUACUACGAGUAACAUUAACUUAAUCUUCAAACUGGCACCCACGUGUAGGCUGGAUUCCUUUGUUUUUUUUCAUAAACAAAUUGAUACGUGCCCAAUUUUCAUAAAUAGGUGGUGGUGAGACUUGAACCAAGGCAUUUUUCCCUCUUUGUUAUAUUGAACCAGUGUUUAUAUAUUCAACUUCAAUCUUCAACAAUGCUUAUCAGCUCACACUAUUUAUUUUUCGAUAACCGAAUCAAACAUUAUUGAAGGUGAUAAGCUAGGUUCUUAUGGAAGUAACAGUACCAUGAAAAUCUCGAGGGAAGAAGAGGUGAGCUGCAACUGC
rnacentral:lncRNA from 1 species